rnacentral:lncRNA from 1 species
AUUUUUACAGUAAUUGCAGACCUUCUUACCUGUUGCCCUCUCACAUCUAUUCUUCUUCAAGCACAGUAAGAUUAGCAAUCAUUUAUAGCAAUGAUAGUAUUAUCAUUUUGGAAUCAUCUAGUUUAAACCAGGACUAAGGUAUCAUGAAAUGAACUGCCUUCCCUUGGUAACAAAUGGUAGUGUUGAGGCGAGUUGGUUGUCUGGGCAAGGAGGAGACUGAGAAAGAGAGGGAGAAGCACAGCAAAGUUUCAGAUGUGUUGUCAAAUCUGGAUUGCAGAGGCUGAUUUCACACUAUCAUUCUCUCUUCAGAAAGUAACUUGACUGAUAUGAAAAAUCCACGUGCAAAUACUGUAAACUGUAAAACCUCUAGGAAGUCUUCACUGCAACCAGGCUAUAAUCUUGUCACUGUCUAUCAUUUGGAGCCAUGGAUCUCACUGCAUCAGGGAGAUGUCUACUGUUUCUUUUUUUUCUUCUUCUUCCUUUCUUCCAGUGUUUUCAGCUCUUCCAGCUCUCUUUCCUCUGUUCCUGUUUCCCCGCACAAGUGCCGAGAUCCUUCUGUGGUACAGAGGGGCCAACAGCAGAACCAAGAAAUGUGGGGAAAACUGCCGUUGCAACAGGAACACUGGAUCUUUCCUCUUCUCACUGAACAUCCUGCGUUCUCCCCUCAGGACUCAAGACAGCUCAGUGGAGAGGAGAGGAAAUGCUGCCAUGUCACUAGUAGCUCUGGCAAGCAGAGUAUAGCAAGCAACAGAUUCACUGAGAAAAUACUUCAUCUCUGUUAGAAAAAGUUGUCAGUUUUCAAGGAGACAAUGCAUGAUUUAGUUUUGUU